rnacentral:lncRNA from 1 species
UCUGCUCUGGCAUCUCUGCUCUGGCAACUUGGCUCUGGCCCUCUGCUUUGGAACCUCUGCUCUGGUUAGCUCUGGCUCUGUCAGCUCUGCUCUGGUUAGCACUGGCUCUGGCAUCUCUGCUCUGGCAACUCUGCUCUGGUUAGCACUGGCUCUGGCAUCUCUGCUCUGGCAACGUGGCUCUGACCCUCUGCUCUGGAAGCUCUGCUCUGGUUAGCUCUGGCUCUGGCAGCUCUGCUCUGGAAG